rnacentral:rRNA from 1 species
CCAAUCGAACCCGGAGAUAGCUGGUUCUCCUCGAAAUAGCUUUAGGGCUAGCCUCAUGAGAGUCUUAUGGAGGUAGAGCACUGAAUUGCCUAGGGGGCGUCAAAGCUUACCAAAGCAUAUCAAACUCCGAAUGCCAUCAAGAUGAUUCAUGGGAGUCAGACCAUACGAGAUAAGUUGGAUGGUCAAAAGGGAAAGAGCCCAGACCUACAGCUAAGGUCCCAAAGUGCGUGUUAAGUGGAAAAGGAUGUGGGAUUUCGAAGACAACUAGGAUGUUGGCUCAGAAGCAGCCAUACAUUCAAAGAGUGCGUAAUAGCUCACUAGUCGAGAGGUCCUGCGCCGAAAAUGUCCGGGGCUAAAACACAACACCGAAGCUUAGGAAUGUAAUUAUACAUUGGUAGAGGAGCAUUCUUAAAGAGACGAAGCAGUACCGAUAAGGAGCUGUGGAUUUUUAAGAAGAGAGAAUGCCGGAAUGAGUAGCGAGAUGGAGGUGGGAAUCCUCCAGGCCGAAUAUCUAAGGUUUCCAGAGUAAAGCUGAUCUGCUCUGGGUAAGUCGGGACCUAAGGCGAGGUCGAAAGACGUAGUCGAUGGAUAACAGGUUGAAAUUCCUGUACCGCAUAUAAACAGAACUGUGGGGACACAGACAGGGAAUGGAAUCCGGGAGUGGAUAUCCCGGUGCAAGCGAGGUAGGAGUGCUGUUGGCAAAUCCGCAGCACGAUCUGAAGACGUGACGCGUACCGAACAUAAGUAGGGAAGUCCAGGCCCCUGGCUGUCAAGAAAAGCCGCUAUUGUUUUAUAUGUGCCCGUACCGCAAACCGACACAGGUGGAUGAGGAGAGAAUCCUAAGGCCGACGGGAGAAGUAUUGUUAAGGAACUCGGCAAAAUGACUCCGUAACUUCGGGAGAAGGAGUGCCAUGAGAGUGGCCGCAGAGAAAUGGCCCAAGCAACUGUUUAGCAAAAACACAGGUCUAUGCAAAACCGCAAGGUGAAGUAUAUGGGCUGACGCCUGCCCGGUGCUGGAAGGUUAAGGGGAGAGGUUAGCGCAAGCGAAGCUUUGAACUUAAGCCCCAGUAAACGGCGGCCGUAACUAUAACGGUCCUAAGGUAGCGAAAUUCCUUGUCGGGUAAGUUCCGACCCGCACGAAAGGCGUAAUGAUUUGGGCACUGUCUCAACGAUACACCCGGUGAAAUUGAAAUACCAGUGAAGAUGCUGGUUACCUGCGCCAGGACGGAAAGACCCCAUGGAGCUUUACUCCAGUUUGAUACUGGGAUUCGGUACUGCAUGUACAGGAUAGGUGGGAGACGAAGAAGGAUGGACGCCAGUCUGUCCGGAGUCGCUGUUGGGAUACCACCCCUGUAGUACUGGGUUUCUAACCAGUUGCCAUGAACUGGCAAUGGGACAAUGUCAGGCGGGGAGUUUGACUGGGGCGGUCGCCUCCGAAAGGGUAUCGGAGGCGCUCAAAGGU